rnacentral:rRNA from 1 species
AUGUUAGUGCGUAUGUUCUCGGGAUUGGAGCUAGCGAGUGUUUUGGGUGGAGCUAUUGUUGUUGGUCUGCUCGUUUGCCAGUCCAGGUUUUGGUACUCUGCUCACUGUUGGUGCAUAGUGUACACGGUUUAUGGACCCAAAGGGGUGGAUGAGGAAAACAACCGAGAUGAAAAUGUUAUCAGCACGAACAUGAUGUGUCUUUUCUUAUUUAUUUUUUUACUGCAGGGGAGCACGAACAUGUUGUGGACUGAAACGUUGCCAUCGAGGGCCUCUUUGUUUUGCAGGAUUCUCAAAACGCAGGAAUAG